rnacentral:rRNA from 2 species
UGGGGAAUAUUGCACAAUGGGGGAAACCCUGAUGCAGCAACGCCGCGUGAAGGAAGAAGGUCUUCGGAUCGUAAACUUCUAUCCCCGGUGAAGAUAAUGACGGUAACCGGGAAGGAAGCCCCGGCUAACUACGUGCCAGCAGCCGCGGUAAUACGUAGGGGGCAAGCGUUGUCCGGAAUGAUUGGGCGUAAAGGGCGCGUAGGCGGCUCGGUAAGUCUGGAGUGAAAUUCCUGCUUUCAAGGUGGGAACUGCUUUGGAUACUGUCGGGCUUGAGUGCAGGAGAGGUAAGUGGAAUUCCCGGUGUAGCGGUGAAAUGCGUAGAGAUCGGGAGGAACACCAGUGGCGAAGGCGACUUACUGGACUGUAACUGACGCUGAGGCGCGAAAGUGUGGGGAGCAAACAGG